rnacentral:ribozyme from 1 species
GGCCCAACAACUACAAUCUCUACCUCCACGUGGGACCGGCCGGGCUGUGAGCAAUCUUAGGCAAGAUCGGGUAAUCAAAUCCUUUUAGGAACUUUGGUCGUAGGCUGACAGGGAAGG